AGGAGAGAGAUUGUGAAGUCAGUGACCAAACCCCUGACUACAUUGAACCACUGGUGCUGUUUGGAUCCCAUGGCUUGGUGCGCCUAAGGUCAUAGUGUACAGACGACUGACCAGAGAGUAGCACCCUGAGAGCUUCUGUUGAAAUGCCCUGCUGUUGCCGGAAUGCUGCCGCCCGGGCUUUGAUUUCCUGCCGAGAGACAAGAGCAUCCGUUCAUUUAUUAAAAUCUUUACACGCUUGGCUUUCCAUCUGACAACAGGUCUCCAAGGAACUGACUGGAACACUGGAUGAUGACUCUAUCUACCUGUGGUCUUCACCCAAGGCAGCACCAGGUCAGGCAAGGGGUUAUAUAACACAGAGAAGUGUUCUUGAGGCAGUGUGAAAAUAGGAUUAAUGGCCUCUGGGUGGCAGAUACCAUUAAGAAAAUUGAAACAAGGAGGCUUUGGGAAAUGGGGCUUGUGGAUUCUGUAAAAAAGAGGUGGGACACACCUCUCUUCU